rnacentral:lncRNA from 10 species
CACACCCCCUACCUCCCUGCCUACAUUCCACCCAGCCUGACUGCUCUGGAAGGAAGAAUCCCUGCAAGGUGAGUGUUAUUAUAUCCAUUUGUGGACCAGGACUGCGGCUCAGAAGCUUUUCCCAGGACACUGAACUCUGACAGGUGAAUAGCUGCCAAGUGGUGGAGGUUGGCCUGCAGUGAGCAUCAGUCUGACUUCGAAGGGUCUUGUUUUAUCACCUAGGCUGGAAUGCAGUGGAACCUGCUUAGCUCACUGUAGCCUUGAACUGCUGGGCUCAAGCAGUCCUCCUGUUUUGGCCUCUGAAGCAACUGGGACUACAGGUAUUGGCCUGGAGUGAUUCCAAGCUCUCCUGGAACAGGAGGUGCCCCCACUCUGGGCAUAAAUAUCUCUCCCUCAUCCCUCGCAGACAACGAUCUUUGAGUACCAUCCAGUCAUAAUAUAGACAUGGCCAAGGACAGAAUGACACAUGGUACAAGCUUUCUGUCUUACUGCCACACGUCAGUGUCCUGGGAGAUGAACCAGAUGCAGCUCCCUGAUGAAUGUGGGAAUAAAAAUUUAUAUCAGAAUCGACACUGGUUAUAAUGUGAAUUUAUGACAUUACUUGAGAAUAUUCAAUUCUGCUGUAGAGGACAAAAAAAAUGGAAUAAUGAAAUCCAUCAUAAACCCUGGGCAUAGUUGGUAAGUAAGCAGGUACCUUAUGCGAUAUAGGCAAAACUUAUAGGAUGUAUUAAGUAUAGAUAGAGAGUAAUGUAGUAUAUACUGAGGCAUGUUAAAGAUAAACAGAAUGCAUGAAAUAUAUGCUGGAACAAGGAAGAAUAUUAUAGAUAGAAAUGUCAAGUCAUAUGUCUUGAUCAUUCUAUCUCUAGGCUGACAGCUCAGUCAUCUCUAGAUGAGCCAUUCAUUGGUAACUCAAUAUGGUCUCAUUCUGAGUUUCACAUGAACUGUGCUAAAAAAAAAAAAUGCAGAUAAAACCUUUCACUGUUCAGUAAGUGAAUUGGCCAGGGGGUCCUUGUUUCUUAUCUUAGUCCAUUUUCUGCUGCUAUAACAGAAUAACCUCAGAUGGGAUAAUUGAUAAAGAAUAGAAAUGUAUUUCUCACAGUUCCAGAGGUUGGGAAGUCCAAGGUCAAGGGGCCCAGAUCCGGUGAGGGUCUUGUUACUGUCAUAGCAUGGUGGAAGGGCCAGAGAGAAAGUUGGAGAGAGAGAAUGGAACUCACAGCCCCCAGCCCUUUUAUAAUCCACAUUAAUCCAUUCAUGAGGAUGGAACCCUCGUGAUCUAAACACCUCCCAUGAGGCCCCACCUCCUAACACUGUGGCAUCAGGGAUUGCAUUUCCAGCACAUGCUUUUUGGGGAGCACAUUCAAACCAUAGCAUCCCUGCAUCUCUCUGACAUAGCAAAUGUGUGUCAUUGGCCCAGCAGGCCUUCUGUCUGUGGGCCCCCUUGCUCAAACCUCAACUCUGGUCUCCUGACCACACUGUUAGUGUAGAGAAAGACAGGACGUUUGGAGCUUGCAUAGUCCAGAAGUCAAGAAGCGGUUGCUGUCACCUGCCUGCAACCCAUCCUUACGAACUGACUCUAUCUCCUUCCCCUUGCUUUUCCCUGUGUGUUUUAAAUUAAUUUAAUAAACUGUGUGAGGCCGGGUGUGGUGGCUCAUGCCUGUAAUCCAAGCACUCUGGGAGGCUGAGACAGGUGGAUCACCUGAGGUCAGGGAUUCAAGACCAGCCUGGCCAACAUGGUGAAACCCUGUCUCUACAAAAAUACAAAAAUUAGCCAGGCAUGAUGUGGGUGCCUGUAAUCCCAGCUACUCAGGAGGCUGAGGCGGGAGAAUCACUGGAACUCAGAGGCAGAGGUUGCAGUGAGCCGAGAUCGUGCCAUUGCACUCCAGCCUGGGUGGCAGA